rnacentral:rRNA from 1 species
GACAGAGGAUGCAAGCGUUAUCCGGAAUGAUUGGGCGUAAAGCGUCUGUAGGUGGCUUUUUAAGUCCGCCGUCAAAUCCCAGGGCUCAACCCUGGACAGGCGGUGGAAACUACAACGCUGGAGUACGGUAGGGGCAGGAGGAAUUUCCGGGUUGGAGCGGUGGAAAUGACGUAGAGAUCGGAAAGAACACCAACGGCGAAAGCACUCUGCUGGGCCGACACUGACACUGAGAGACGAAAGCUAGGGGAGCGAAUGGG